GAUGAACGCAGACAGAAUGCUUAACACAUGCAAGUCUACUUGAACUUCGGUUUGGGUGGCGGACGGGUGAGUAACGCGUAAAGAACUUGCCUCACAGUUAGGGACAACAUUUGGAAACGAAUGCUAAUACCUGAUAUUAUGAUUUUAGGGCAUCCUAGGAUUAUGAAAGCUAUAUGUGCUGUGAGAGAGCUUUGCGUCCCAUUAGCUAGUUGGAGAGGUAACGGCUCACCAAGGCGAUGAUGGGUAGCCGGCCUGAGAGGGUGAACGGCCACAAGGGGACUGAGACACGGCCCUUACUCCUACGGGAGGCAGCAGUGGGGAAUAUUGGACAAUGGACCAAAAGUCUGAUCCAGCAAUUCUGUGUGCACGAUGACGUUUUUCGGAAUGUAAAGUGCUUUCAGUUGGGAAGAAAAAAAUGACGGUACCAACAGAAGAAGUGACGGCUAAAUACGUG
rnacentral:rRNA from 1 species